rnacentral:rRNA from 1 species
AUGGCGCCUCCCGCCCGUGCCGCUCGAGCGAUCGCGGGACCUCUCCUGGCCAUCUUGCCGCUGACGGUCACGGGCGCCCCUGGACAGGGAGCGACGGAUGCGGUCGCGCCAACCGCCCUGUGCGCGCGGGCCAUCACGCCCGCGGCGGCCGCCGCGGUCGUCGUCGUCGUCGCGCCGUGCCGGGCGCUGGACGUCGUUGGGCUGACCAGCACGCCUGUCUCCCCGCCGCACCGUGCCGUCCACUGUACGGCGGAACCAGGUGUACUCGUAGAGGUCAGGAGGUGGUGGGUCAUCGUCGUCGUCCCGCGCCUUGGAGUGGUCCUCGAGCAGGUCCAGGUGCAGCAGCACACGAUGUCUCAGGCCGUGCCGGCCGCGGGCGGGCAGCGUGAGCCACUUCACCUUAGGAAUGGCGUUGGGGUCGGACGUCCACGCCCAGAGCGACAGGUCGCGUGUGUCCUCCCAGCGCAGAGACCGUUGCUCGAUGUAGUCGAGGGAGCACCGACGGUCGAUGACGAAUGCAGCGACGUACUCAUUUCAGGCAUGGACCGGGAUCCCCUCGAUGCACAAACGGACGUGGUGCAUCAUGUCUUCAUUGUCAGCGUGCGCCUCGAGCCUCCAGGCGCGGACGAAGAGAGAGGAGUUGCCGACGAGGAAGUCGCCACGGUUGACGGCGUCCGCGCAAUUGUGCUGGUACAUGAACUUGACGAGGUACUGCUCGGGGAAGUGCCGCACAACACUCACGUUCGCCGGCCGGAAGCCGAAGGUGGCGGCGAACGCAGCGGCCACGGUGUGGCAAGGGACAUCCUCACGGGCCCCUUCAAACCAGGCCACGGCAGCGUUGGUGGAGAGCAGCGCCGACUCCGCCUGCAUCUCCGGCGUGGCAGGGACCACGACGAAGUCUUCCUCCGGCCGGUUGGCCGCGUCACCCAGCCUUGA